GGGGCAUUAUGGGAUUAUGGGGUGGGAUUAUGGGAAUAUGGGGUGGGAUUAUGGGGUGGGAUUAUGGGAUUACGGGGCGGCAUUAUAGGAUUAUGGGAUCACAGCUUUGGAACGCUGGGAUUAUGGGGUCGGGGUUGGGAUUAUGGGGCUGGGAUUGGGAUUAUGGGGCCGGGAUUGGGAUUAUGGGGUCGGGAUUGGGAUUAUGGGAUACAGGGGUGGGAUUGUGGUAUUAUGGGAUGGCAAUUCGCCUAUAAACUCCGCAUUUGAGUCCAUUUUUGUGCCCUGAGGCCCAUUUCCGUGACCCGGGAUUGGGAUUACGGGGUCGGGAUUAUGGGAUUAUGGGGUCGGGAUUGGGAUUAUGGGAUUACAGGGUGGGAUUAUGAUAUUAUGGGAUGGCAUUUCCUCUACGAGCUCCAGAUUUGAGUCCAUUUUUGUGCCCUGAGGCCCAUUUCCGUGACCCGGGAUCGGGAUUAUGGGGUCGAGAUUAUGGGAUUAUGGGGUCGGGAUUGGGAUUAUGGGAUUACAGAACGGGAUUAUGAUAUUAUGGGAUGGCAUUUCCUCAACGAGCUCCAGAUUUGAGUCCAUUUUUGUGCCCUGAGGCCGAUUUCUGUGGCCCGAAACGGGGGGAAACGAACCACGGGGUCGGGAUGAUGGGGCCGGGAUUGGGAUUAGCGGG
ensembl:lncRNA